rnacentral:rRNA from 1 species
AGGAAUAUUGGUCAAUGGGCGGAAGCCUGAACCAGCCAUGCCGCGUGCAGGAAGACGGCCCUACGGGUUGUAAACUGCUUUUAUACCGGAAUAAACCUUUUCACGUGUGAGAAGCUGAAUGUACGGUAAGAAUAAGGAUCGGCUAACUCCGUGCCAGCAGCCGCGGUAAUACGGAGGAUCCAAGCGUUAUCCGGAUUUAUUGGGUUUAAAGGGUGCGUAGGUGGCCUGUUAAGUCAGGGGUGAAAGACGGUAGCUCAACUAUCGCAGUGCCCUUGAUACUGACGGGCUUGAAUGACCCAGAGGUAGGCGGAAUGUGACAAGUAGCGGUGAAAUGCAUAGAUAUGUCACAGAACACCAAUUGCGAAGGCAGCUUACUAUGGUUUCAUUGACACUGAGGCACGAAAGCGUGGGGAUCAAAC